GUGGGGAAUCUUCCGCAAUGGACGAAAGUCUGACGGAGCGACGCCGCGUGAGUGAAGAAGGCCUUCGGGUCGUAAAGCUCUGUCAUCAGGGACGAACGGCCGGUGGAGUGGAAAGCCACCGGAUUGACGGUACCUGAGAAGGAAGCCACGGCUAACUACGUGCCAGCAGCCGCGGUAAUACGUAGGUGGCAAGCGUUGUCCGGAAUUAUUGGGCGUAAAGCGCGCGCAGGUGGGAUCUUAAGUCCAUUUUUAAAGUUCGGAGCUCAACUCCGUGAUUGGAUGGAAACUGGGAUUCUUGAGUACCGGAGAGGAAAGCGGAAUUCCCCGUGUAGCGGUGAAAUGCGUAGAUAUGGGGAGGAACACCAGUGGCGAAGGCGGCUUUCUGGACGGUGUCUGACACUGAGGCGCGAAAGCCAGGGGAGCGAACGGGAUUAGAUACCCCUGUAGUCC
rnacentral:rRNA from 1 species